rnacentral:rRNA from 1 species
UACGGAGGAUGCGAGCGUUAUCCGGAUUUACUGGGUUUAAAGGGUGCGUAGGCGGGAUGCCAAGUCAGCGGUAAAAAUGCGGUGCUCAACGCCGUCGAGCCGUUGAAGCUGGCGUUCUUGAGUGGGCGAGAAGUAUGCGGAAUGCGUGGUGUAGCGGUGAAAUGCAUAGAUAUCACGCAGAACUCCGAUUGCGAAGGCAGCAUACCGGCGCCCUACUGACGCUGAGGCACGAAAGCGUGGGUAUCGAACAGG